AUCCUUAGAGGACACCCUUAAAAAAUAUAAAUAAAAUAAAUGUCACCGGUAAAAAAGUGUUGCAAUCAACAACCAACUUUUCCUUUCCUUACCUUCUUAUUUAUUCCUCGUUUUCUUCAACGCUUUGAAUCCACGUCACGUUCCCUGCUCUUCUUCUUCUCCUAUAAGGCAAUGUCCUGUGCCGGCUGCGACCGGAUAUGAGGUGAAAAUCCGGCCAAUCAGAAGAGUUUCUGCCCCCAACUGACAAAUACGCCCACUAAACAUAGCAAGAGAGCGUAAUGUUUCUCCGAGAGCGAACAGAUGGUUGCGGGGGGCGUGUUUUACUGCUCGCAGUGCUGUGUUCAGACGCUUCCGAAUAAAGGUGCACGCCCGCGAACAGAGCUAUGCGCUCUCUCGAUUAAGAGAUGCGCUGUUGUGAUUGCUUAAUACGCUCCUCUGAUUUUUGGCAGGAAUGUGACGCCAUACCCAUCCACCUCCGGAGAGGGGCCUAUGUACAAAAGAGGGGUCCACAUGGCCCAAACCAGCCCGCCAACCAGAGCCGCCCCAGGACGGAGCAGUCCCGACCCCCCAAUGAGCUCUGAUCCCAACCCCAUGAGCCUCCAACCCCGUGAACCCCAACAGGAACCUCCCCACAGGGCCACCCCCAACAAGGACACCGAUAUCGAACACAUGCCCCCGAACCCAAACGCCACGAAUCCCUUCCCCCACAGGGGAACACCCCCACAGGGGACAGUGGUUACCUCUUGAGGCGCUGGCUCCUAACCCCCUUUCCUCAGCCCCAGAGCGCAGAGCAGGUGCGCUUUACUACUGCCCAUACCUGUGUUCCGUUGGCCUUCUAAGAUGCUGGUGGCAGUGUGUGGAAGUGUCCAAGGAAUAUAACAGCAUUUGACUGAACACGUCCUCCAGAAGCACCUUGUGCAUGGGGCACACUGUUGCUGGGGACCUCGGUGCCGGUUGCCACAUUGCUCGGACUCUUGUCACUCGUAACUUUCCUGCCAACUCAAGAGGACCUGAGGACAUAGAGACAUUAGCCUACUGUGUCUGUACCUCUGAUUUACCAAUUUAAUACAAAUUAAACAGUGCUUUGCCUGGCAUCUGAGGUCUCAGACAAAUCAGCGUCUCCCUCCUACUCUGACGAUGCCACAAAAGCUUGUCUUUCCUAGUAUGGAGGCCAUCCAUUUCUCAGAUGGUGUCAAAUCGGGUUUCCGCAUCGGAGAAAUUGCAUUUCUUCGCUCUUUGCUCCUUGGUUACCAUUGUUAACCAUAAAAUAACAUUGAUCAGCUGGCUUAUUUAAAGACAAAUUGACAUUCAUGAAGUGCUUUGCAUUGACCAUUUAUGGUUGAAUGUGGGCAUGUAGAGGGCAGAACAUGAGGCAGAAUCUUGUACACAAACAUUGAGGUGCAGCUAUGAUUUAUAAAGGGGAAACUGAUUGCUGCUGUGCAUGGUUUUAUAUGUCUGGAUUUUCUUUUGGUUCUUUUGUUGCUCAUAUACAGGUUUCCUCAAAGAGCCAUUGUAGAUGCUGAUGGUGUGGGCAGAAAGGAUCUCCUGUAGCAGUCUGUCUUACAGCAGAUCUGAUGAAGCCGGAAGACACUGUUGUUGUACAACAGUCUCAUGAAGAGGAUGAUCAGGGUUCUCUAUAAUGUUCUUCAUUUUAUGAAGAAUCCUUCAUUGCAAAAUGUUAGUCCCUGGCUCUGAAAGUUCAAGGAGCUCAAGAAGUACAGUCUGCUCUGUCCCUUCUUGUAGACGGCUUCACAAUUGCAUUUCCACUCCAGUCUGUUGUCCAGGUGAACACCAAGGCAUUUAUACUCCUCCACCUCCUCCUCUUCUUCCUCCAUGAUGGAAAUAGUUUUUGACUUAUUUCUGUUUCUCCUAAAAUCUACAAUCAUCUAAUUUUUUUUAUUCAUGUUCGAGAUGAGAUGAUUCUUUCUACAACACCGGAACCUUCUUCUGGGCCAGGCUAAGGUUGAAGAGGUGCUGCUGAAUCCCACAGAGCUGCUCUGUACAGGCCUUCAGGACUCUAGGGCUGACACCA